UACGAAGGGGGCUAGCGUUGCUCGGAAUUACUGGGCGUAAAGCGCGUGUAGGCUGCUCCGCAAGUCGGGUGUGAAAGCCCUGGGCUCAACCCAGGAAGUGCACUCGAAACUGCGAAGCUUGAGUCCUGGAGAGGAAGGCGGAAUUCUCGGUGUAGAGGUGAAAUUCGUAGAUAUCGAGAGGAACACCGGUGGCGAAGGCGGCCUUCUGGACAGUGACUGACGCUGAGACGCGAAAGCGUGGGGAGCAAACAGG
rnacentral:rRNA from 1 species